GCUAGGACACCGCACAACCACCGCUGCCGGUAUUUGCCCCGGGCGCCUGGCAACUCUGACGCCCCGCUGCGCGGUCCAACCCCUUCUCCGACGCCUGGGGACGUGGACCUGGCCGAGGGAAGGGAGAGGGUACCGGUCCUUGGUGUAAUCACGUUUUACUCUGCUGGGAAGGCGUGUUCAUCUUCCCACCGAAACGCGCCAUAGACUGGAUCAGGCGUUUUUUGCUCAUCAUCGUUUCAAAAAACGUUUACUGAAGGAAAGAAAGGAAGAAGGCAGGAGGAGCGAUAAAGAGAUAGCAAGAGAAAGAGGAUGGAAAGUGGGGAAAAUGAAUAGAUUUCUAAAGGUUGGGAAAGCCUUUUAGCAGGGAGAUGUUUUCCUGGAGGUCUUGGAACUCUCUUGGUCUCACAGCCUCUGUAAACCGAGGGCUGCACACCUGUCUCUAGUCCCCAGCUGAUUUCCAGAGGCCCUUCCAGCUCCUGUGUUGAUUCUUCUGCCUCGACUCACUUCUAGCAGACAAGUACCAUCCAGCUGACCCUGGAAAUAAGAUGUUCCCCCUUUCUCCUUCUGAUAUGAGAAGAUACUUGUUAGCCCUCAAGCUGCUCAGAUGAGGGACUUUCCUGCCGAGAACCAACGUGAAGAGUGCAGCUUCUAUAAAGGAUUUCACUGGAUUUUUGUACUAAUGAACAAAUUUUAUUUGGAUGAGUAGAUAUUUAAUGUGCUGUUAUUACCACUGGAGUUAAAAGUAUAUUAUAAAUUCUUAUGUCUUUAAAACUAGAGAGAGGAUUCUGGGAAGAUGGCAGAGUAGAAAGCACCAGGAAUCCGACUUCCCACCUAAACAACUGUUCUAGCAGCAUCUGUCUGACACAACUAUUUUAAAACUUUGGGGUCUAUUGAAAGCUAGCAACUUCUAGGGGAAAAGUUGUACAGUAAGCUGCAGUUAAUUUCAGUGAAUUUCAGCACAGUAAUAGCCAAUAGUAGCCAAACCCUACUCCUCAGCCCUGUGUCAGGCAGCUGUGUAUGUGUUCCUGGACCAGUUUGCACACAACUUGCUGGAAUCAAGGUUGAAAAAAAAAAACUGUCCUCCAAAUAUUAGGGCUCUGAUUGCUGAUUGUUGCUUUACAAAGGUGCAGAAGAAGAAAUGACAGCCAUUGUUUUGUUGUUGCACCUUCCCCCCCAUUGUGGCAAACUCCACCUCCUCUGGCUGAAGCACCUUCCAGGGGAUUUAAACGAUGAGCCUUUUUCUGCCCUUCAUUUUUCUCUUUUUCUCCAUUUUUGGAAGCCAGACAUUGAAGGCUAUGACAUUCAAAACAACUGUAUAUACACUUGUUACAGAAGAUAUUAGAAAGUCACUGUGCGUGCCCAGGGACAGGCUUAGAAAAGACCCAAGAAGACUGUAAGCUUAUAUUUCAGGCUAAUCCUCAGCACAGAGACAGCCUAUAACAAUAAAAAACAAAAAGCUAGUAAACCCUGGGGAAGGAAAAUAAUCUGAUUUUCAGAAUUACCAGAUUAUUAGAUUCAAAAGUCUAGUUUUCAACAACAACAACAACAAAAACAAAAACACAAGAGAUACAAAGAAACAAGCAAAUAUGGCCCAUUCAAAGGAAAAAAUAAACCAACAGAAACUGUCCUUGAAAAGGAUCUGAUGGAGGAUCUAUUAGACAAAGACUUUAAAACAACUGUCUUAAAGUUACCCAAAGAACUAAAGGAAGAUGUGGAAAAUGUCAAGAAAAUGAUGUAUGAACAUAAUGGAAAUAUCAAUAAAGAGAGAGAAAACCUAAAAAGAAACCAAAAAGAAAUUGGUUUCCAGAAAUUUUCUGGAACUAAAAAGUACAAUAGCUGAAAGUUAAAAAAACUUGCUAGAGAGAUUCAAUGGCAGAUUUGAGCAAGCACAAGAAUCAACAAACUUGAAGAAAGGACAAGGAAAAUUAUUGAAUCUGAGGAAUAUAAAGAAAAAAAUUGAAGAAAACAGAGCCUAAAGGACCUGUAGGACAUCGUCAAACAGCCCCACACAGGCUUUAUGGGGAGUCCUUGAGGACAAGUAAGAGAAAGGGGCAAAGAGAUUAUUCAAAGAAAUUAUGACCAAAAACUUGCCAAAUUUAAUGAAAGACAUGAAUAUAAAUAUCCAAAAAGCUCAAUGAACUCCAAGUAGGAUAAAUUCAAAGACACACCAAAAGUAUUACCAUCAAACUAUUAAAAGCUGGAGACAGAAAAUUUUGAAAGCCGCAAGAGAGAAGUGAUCAUCACAUAUAAGGAAUCCUCAAUAAGAUUAUCUGCAGAUUUCUCAUCAGAAACUUCAGAGGCCAGAAAGCAGUAGGCUGAUAUAAAGUGCUAAAAGAAAGAAACUAUCAACUAAGAAUCCUAUAUCCAGCAAAUCUUCACUUCAAAAGCUGGAGGAUUCACACUUCUUUGUUUCAAAACUUACCACAAAGUUACAGCGAUCAAAACAGUGUGGUACUGGCACAAAGACAGACAUAUAGACCAAUGGAAUAGAACACAGUCCAGAAAAAAACCCUCUUAGCACAAGGGUGCUAAGAUUAUCCAAUGGGGAAAAGAUGAUCUUUUUGACAAAUGGUGCUGGGAAAAUUGCCACAUACAAAAGAAUACAGUUGGACCCUUACCUGAUACCAUUUACAUUAAAUUAAUGCAGACUAGAUCCAUAACCUAAUGUAAGAACUAAAACUAUAAAACUCAUAGGAGAAAGCAUAGGGCAAAAGUUCACAACAUUAGAAUGGGCAAUAAUUUCUUGGAUAUAACAUCACAAGUACAGGCAACAACAACAACAAAAGAACACAAAUUGGAUUGUAUUACAAUUUUAAAAUUUUGUGCAUCAAAAGUACUAUUAACAGAGUAAAAAAGGCAACCCACAGAAUGGGAGAAAAUAUUUGAAAAUCAUCUCUAAUAAGGGAUUAAUAUCCAGAAUAUAGAGAAAACUCCUAAAACUCAACAACAACAAAAAACAACAUGAUUUAAAAAUGAGCAAAGGACUUGAAUAGACAUUUCUCCAAGAAGAUAUACAAAUGGCCAGUAAGUACAUGAAAUGAUGCUCAACAUCAUGAAUAAUUAGGGAAAUACAGAUCAAAAUAACAAUGAGAUACCACCCCACCCUUAUUAGGAUGGCUACUAUUUAAAAAAUAAUAAUUAUUAUAAGUGUUGGCAAGGAUGUGGAGAAAUUGGAACCCUUAUGCACUGUUGGUGGGAAUGUAAAAGGGCACCACCAGUGUAAAAUGGUGGUUCUUUAAAAACUAAAAGUAGAAUUACCAUAUGACCCAGCAUUUCCACUGCUGAAUAUAUACACAAAAGAAGUGAUAGCAGUAUCAAAGAGAUAUCUGUACAUCUGUGUUUAUAGCAGCAUUAUUCACAGUAGUUAAAAUGUGGAAGCAGACCAAGUGACUAUUGGUGGAUGACUGAAUAAGCAAAAUGUGGUAAACACAUACAAUGGCAUAUUAUUCAGCCUUAAAUAGGAAGGAAAUUUUGAUAUAUGGUAUAACAUGGAUGAAUCUUGAGGACAUUAUGUUAAGUGAAAUGAGACAAUAACAAAAAGGCAAAUACUGUAUUAUUCCACCUAUAUGAGGUACUUAGAGUAGUCAAAUGGUGGUUGCCUGGGGCUGAGCAGAGGGAAGAAUGGGAGUUAUUGCUUAAUGAAUACAGUUUUGCAAGAUGGAAAGACUUCUGGAGAUGGGUAGUGGUGAUGGCAGCACAACAAUAUGAUUGUACUUAAUGCCACUCUACUGUACACUUAAAAAUGAUUAAGAUAGUAAAUUUUGUGUUAUGUAUGUUUUACCACAAUUAAAAAUUGUGGUAAAUAAACAAUAAAGUUUUUUUAAAUGUUGUCUCUGUACCUAACAUGACUAAGCACCCUCCUAUUCUCCUUCCCAUCACAUCUCUCCUAGAUUAUCUUGGGCAUCUGAACCUAAGCAGGUGCAAUAGUUUCAUUUGAUUGCCCCCUUUAAGUCCGCUCCUUGUUGGACUCAUAGUUACCUUUACCUGCUUACUUCUUGAUGAUCACUGGGCUGAGCUAGGAAUUCUGCCUACUGCUAGUUCCUG
rnacentral:lncRNA from 10 species